UGGGGAAUAUUGGGCAAUGGGCGCAAGCCUGACCCAGCCAUGCCGCGUGAGUGAUGAAGGCCUUCGGGUCGUAAAGCUCUGUGGGGAGGGACGAAAAAAACAGACCUAAUACGUCUGGGCUUGACGGUACCUCCUUAGCAAGCACCGGCUAACUCCGUGCCAGCAGCCGCGGUAAUACGGGGGGUGCAAACGUUGCUCGGAAUCAUUGGGCGUAAAGCGCACGUAGGCGGUCUUGUAAGUCGGGUGUGAAAGCCCCGGGCUCAACCCGGGAAGUGCAUUCGAAACUGCAAGGCUUGAGUAUGGAAGAGGGUCUCGGAAUUCCCGGUGUAGAGGUGAAAUUCGUAGAUAUCGGGAGGAACACCAGUGGCGAAGGCGGAGACCUGGGCCAAUACUGACGCUGAGGUGCGAAAGCGUGGGGAGCAAACAGGAUUAGAUACCCCGGUAGUCC
rnacentral:rRNA from 1 species